GAUGAACGCUGGCGGCGUGCUUAACACAUGCAAGUCGAGCGAAGCACUUAGGAAAGAUUCUUCGGAUGAUUUCCUUUGUGACUGAGCGGCGGACGGGUGAGUAACGCGUGGGUAACCUGCCUCAUACAGGGGGAUAACAGUUAGAAAUGACUGCUAAUACCGCAUAAGACCACGGUACCGCAUGGUACAGUGGUAAAAACUCCGGUGGUAUGAGAUGGACCCGCGUCUGAUUAGGUAGUUGGUGGGGUAACGGCCUACCAAGCCGACGAUCAGUAGCCGACCUGAGAGGGUGACCGGCCACAUUGGGACUGAGACACGGCCCAGACUCCUACGGGAGGCAGCAGUGGGGAAUAUUGCACAAUGGAGGAAACUCUGAUGCAGCGACGCCGCGUGAAGGAUGAAGUAUUUCGGUAUGUAAACUUCUAUCAGCAGG
rnacentral:rRNA from 1 species